GACGAACGCUGGCGGCGUGCCUAAUACAUGCAAGUAGAACGCUGAAGGAGGAGCUUGCUUCUCUGGAUGAGUUGCGAACGGGUGAGUAACGCGUAGGUAACCUGCCUGGUAGCGGGGGAUAACUAUUGGAAACGAUAGCUAAUACCGCAUAAUAGCAGUUGUUGCAUGACAACUGUUUGAAAGGUGCAAUUGCACCACUACCAGAUGGACCUGCGUUGUAUUAGCUAGUUGGUGGGGUAACGGCUCACCAAGGCGACGAUACAUAGCCGACCUGAGGAGGUGAUCGGCCACACUGGGACUGAGACACGGCCCAGACUCCUACGGGAGGCAGCAGUAGGGAAUCGUCGGCAAUGGACGGAAGUCUGACCGAGCAACGCCGCGUGAGUGAAGAAGGUUGUCGGAUCGUAAAGCUCGGUUGUAAGAGAAGAACGAGUGUGAGAGUGGAAAGUUCACACUGUGACGGUAUCUUACCAGAAAGAGACGGCUAACUACGUG
rnacentral:rRNA from 1 species